rnacentral:lncRNA from 1 species
AUUCACGACUUUCAAAACUAGUUUAUGAUAUCUUACAUUAUUUUAUUACUUUUGACAAUGCUUCAGAACAUCCAACACUACUUUAUGGCAUCUUACACUGUUUCAUGAUUUUCUAUUCUGUUUUAUGGCUUCCUGUACUGUUUCAUGACUUCCUACAUUAUUUUAUGAAUUCGAACAUUAUUUCAUGACAUAAAUAUUUUCAUACACAAAGUAAGAAAAUUUAAUUCUAAAAUAAAUAUUUUAUUUAUAAUAAUUAUAGGGAACAGAUCAAUUGGCGAUCAUACAAACAAAAUGAGAAAGAAAAAUAAUAGUAGCCAUCAUACAAACAAACAAAG